CAGGGAUUGCCCUAGUAACGGCGAGUGAAGCGGCAACAGCUCAAAUUUGAAAUCUGGCUCUUUCAGAGUCCGAGUUGUAAUUUGCAGAGGGCGCUUUGGCUUUGGCAGCGGUCCAAGUUCCUUGGAACAGGACGUCACAGAGGGUGAGAAUCCCGUACGUGGUCGCUAGCUAUUGCCGUGUAAAGCCCCUUCGACGAGUCGAGUUGUUUGGGAAUGCAGCUCUAAAUGGGAGGUAAAUUUCUUCUAAAGCUAAAUAUUGGCCAGAGACCGAUAGCGCACAAGUAGAGUGAUCGAAAGAUGAAAAGCACUUUGGAAAGAGAGUCAAACAGCACGUGAAAUUGUUGAAAGGGAAGCGCUUGCAGCCAGACUUGCUUGCAGUUGCUCAUCCGGGCUUUUGCCCGGUGCACUCUUCUGUAGGCAGGCCAGCAUCAGUUUGGGCGGUGGGAUAAAGGUCUCUGUCACGUACCUCUCUUCGGGGAGGCCUUAUAGGGGAGACGACAUACCACCAGCCUAGACUGAGGUCCGCGCAUCUGCUAGGAUGCUGGCGUAAUGGCUGUAAGCGGCCCGUCUUGAAACACGGACCAAGGAGUCUAACAUCUAUGCGAGUGUUUGGGUGUCAAGCCCGAGCGCGUAAUGAAAGUGAACGGAGGUGGGAACCCGCAAGGGUGCACCAUCGACCGAUCCUGAAGUUUACGGAAGGAUUUGAGUAAGAGCAUGGCUGUUGGGACCCGAAAGAUGGUGAACUAUGCUUGAAUAGGGUGAAGCCAGAGGAAACUCUGGUGGAGGCUCGCAGCGGUUCUGACGUGCAAAUCGAUCGUCAAAUUUGGGCAUAGGGGCGAAAGACU
rnacentral:rRNA from 2 species